AAGGUAGCGAAAUUCCUUGUCGGGUAAGUUCCGACCUGCACGAAUGGCGUAACGAUCUCCACACUGUCUCGGCCAGAGACUCGGUGAAAUUGCAGUCGCGGUGAAAAUUCCGUGUACCCGCAGAAAGACGGAAAGACCCUGUGCACCUUUACUAUAGCUUGACAUUGGAUUUUGGGCCUGCAUGUGUAGGAUAGGUGGGAGGCUGUGAACCCUGUACGCCAGUAUGGGGGGAGCCAUCGUUGAAAUACCACCCUUGCAUGUUUAAGAUCCUAACUUCUUCCGGUCAUCCCGGAGAAAGACAGUGUCUGGCGGGUAGUUUGACUGGGGCGGUCGCCUCCUAAAGUGUAACGGAGGCAUGCAAAGGUUCCCUCAGCCUGAUCGGAAACCAGGCGCUGAGUGCAAACGCAUAAGGGAGCUUGACUGUAAGAGAGACAUCUCGAACAGGAACGAAAGUUGGCGUUAGUGAUCCGGUGGUCCCGAAUGGAAGGGCCAUCGCUCAUUGGAUAAAAGGUACGCCGGGGAUAACAGGCUGAUCGCAUCCAAGAGUUCACAUCGACGAUGCGGUUUGGCACCUCGAUGUCGGCUCAUCACAUCCUGGGGCUGAAGCAGGUCCCAAGGGUACGGCUGUUCGCCGUUUAAAGUGGUACGCGAGCUGGGUUUAAAACGUCGUGAGACAGUUUGGUCCCUAUCUUCUGUGGGCGAAGGAGAAUUGAGAGGGCCUGUCCCUAGUACGAGAGGACCGGGAUGGACGCACCCCUGGUGAUCCUGUUGUCGCGCCAGCGGCACAGCAGGGUAGCUAUGUGCGGAAGGGAUAACCGCUGAAAGCAUCUAAGCGGGAAGCCUGCCUCAAGAUAAGUUCUCCCCUCGAAAGAGCUGAAGGGCCCGGGUAGACUACCCGGUCGAUAGGCUGGAGGUGUAAGCGCGGCGACGCGCUCAGCUGACCAGUACUAAUAGCCCGAGCGGCUUAUUUAU
rnacentral:rRNA from 1 species